AGUCCCCCACCACCUUGGUAGAGAUGGCAACACAUUUGUUGUGGUAAACUUGUCCUCAUCCCUUCACCUGCUCAGCUAAACUAAACCCAUCCACGUGUUCCAGAGACGGUCCUGAUUGAAUGGAUUUACUUGUGAUUUGGUCAUUCUGGUUGGCUAUGUGAGAAGACAACCAACGCUGACAAGUCCGGAUGGAUUCAGCUAUGUCUAUGCAGAAAAGGGCGAUUAGCAAUGCCUAUCAGUACAACGCAGCUUGGGGCCUGAGGGAGAUGAACAAGCUGAAGAAGAACUUUCCGCAGCCAGAAUGGACACGUCGGUGACGCCGUUCCCAGAAGCUCUUCAUGACACACUGCCCCAGCGAUGCAGGAUGUGCCAGAGGAAGAUAGCCAGGAGACGGAGGUUGUAGUCUGCCACGGUUUCAACCACGUGCACCCGUUCCAGCUAAAACGCCACUUUGUGACUGAUCCAAUGAGUA